AGUAAGAUAAGCUAAUUAAGCUCCUGGGCCCAUACCCCAUAAAUGUUGGUUAAAAUCCUUCUCUUAUUG
rnacentral:tRNA from 1 species